AUAAUUCCUGCCCCUCCUCUGGAUUGGCGCCGCGGCACUGGGAAGGUGCUCGCUGAGCUCUGACGUUAAUGAGACUCGUUAAUGAGACAGCUGAUUAUUCACUGACAAGCUGCACUGCCGGCUGGGGGAGGGAUACGCAGGGGAAUUGUUUGGAUGGGGAGAGGCAGCGCUCCCAAGCUGAGAAACAGCGCUGGGAAGGUUUUCUCUCAAUGGCAAAGCGACAAGCAGGGAUGCUGGGAUGAUUCCAAGGCUUUGUCUGGCAGGGGAAGGUGCUGCUUCUUGCCUUCCCGUGUUCCAGGUGAGACCAGGGGGCUGUGGAUGCUGGGAUUGGACACAGAAAAGCUGAGGACUGGCAGAGCAUCUGGUGAAGGGACAAGAUCCCUCAUGACCAUGGAAGCAGACACAAAUACUAGAUGGAUGUUUUCCUGA
rnacentral:lncRNA from 1 species